UAUCUUCAUGGACAAACUUGUUGUUCUAACCUACGGUGGCUCAGCUUCAAGGAAACGUAUCUGCUGUUUGUAUUUCCAGCUAAGUCCCUUCCUGUUCCAUGGUUUAACAAGCGAUGACCACUCUACUUCCAUUGUCAACUACCUCCUCACAUGAACUGGAAGCCACGUCUCAUGUGGCCCACUCAUCCACUGGCACAUUGAAUGUUUCCUCUCCAAGCACGUCAAAUCCUGCCCUGCACUGGUCAAGCCUCUGAACACCUCAACUCAUGCCUCAUACCCUCAUUCAAUCACUGCUGUGAUCCCUUCCCAAAAUGGUAAGCCUGAUUCUACUCACUGUGGUAGUGUGGAAGUGUUCAGCUGUAUUAUUUGGCCUGUGGUCCUGUUGUCCACAGUCCCAUCGGUGAAGAUAAUGUCUUAAUUGAGCUUCUUGUCUGUGACUGAGAUACGUAAUCUGCACAUUUACUAAAACGUCAGCUCUCAUCUCUCCCAACGUUCUCAAUGUCAAACCAUGAAGGCCGGG